AUGACAGAUUCCUCACUGAUGCUGAUCAGAAAAUUCCUGACUGACCAGUUAAAACUACAUUUCUGCAGAAAUGUAAGAAGGUUGAAAUGGCAGUUAGGUUAGGUAUUGAGUCCUGGUUUGGUGACCUGGCCUAUGUGAUGCCAUUUUGGGCCUGUGGUUUUCUUUUUAACAAUUCCUUUCUUUUCAUCAGACUCCCAGCUUAAUUGAGAGAUGUGAUCAAAAUUUAAGACAUUAGCUCCACUCUCAGCUACUGUUGAGAAGUUCUCAUAGUUUUUGUUGUUCUUUGGGAUCCAGAGGUCAUGAUAUUUUUGCUUAACUUCUGGGAUCUUCAUAGGUCAUGGCUUUGGGUUCACAUUCUUUAAGUUGGUAAUUUUUCUUGUUCCUUUUUUGACAUUCCGUUCUUAGGGAGAUCAUUUGCUUGGUGGUUCGUGGCUACAAACAUGCAUUUAAAUGUUUUGAGAGAAUACAAUGUACCAGGGAGAUUAUUAUGAAUACUAAAAGCAAGAUUAAUUCCCAGUGUUUGGAGUGCACUUCAGAGCCAUGGUCUCCAAGACCCAAACCAAUCAAAGAAAGACCCUGUUGAAGGAAUUACCCUGUCAGCCUAACUGGCUUGCUCCAUGAUUUUAUAUAACUUAGUUUCACCUUCCCCAGAUGUGUUGAUCCAGGUAUAGCAGGUGGUAUUAACUACAGUACAGACACCUCCUUGCUCAGCUAAAAGAUACUCAAGGGCUCUCCUAUUAUCAAGAACAAUUUUUGCCAGAGAGUCUAAGGAUCUUUGUUGGGUUAUUAUUGCUUUAGCAGUGGAUGCUGCAACAAUUUCAGGAAUUAAGGAGAAAUUCCUCAUCGGGCCUUAUUUACAUUUAUUCCAAAACAAAGAAAUAGAGACCUAUCAAAAGGAGUGAAUCCUGAAUCAUGAAAGCCUCCUGGUAGGUACUUUCUAAUUCAAUAAUGUAAAUUCAGGGGAGUCGGCCAAUGAGAUGUCUUGUUUUGCUUGUGAAAAGUUAGGGCCACAGUUAGGUUUUCUUGUAGCCUGAAAUAAAAGGUUGUUCUAAAUUCUGGAAGUUGCCCCCCACCCCCACCCCCCAGCAAGGGCCUGGGAGAUAUAGAUGAGGACAUUAUCUUUCCAGGCUAAUGCCAGAGUAAAGGAAAGGAAAAGAAAGAGAAAAGGUUUCAUGUUCAGUUAAAGUAUGAAGUCUUUAUCUGUUGUCUUGGGCAGAAGUAAUCAACCUUGAUGUCAGCUACUUAUCUUCCUCAUCAAUUGAUUCAAAGGUCUCCAGCGUCUUCUAGUUUUGAAGAGGUGUCAGUGGUCAGGAGCACUUGAUAAGGGCCCUUCCAGUGGAGCUCCAACACUCUCUUCGUCUGAUAACAUUUCCAGAAUACCCAAUCACCAUGCUCUAGAUUGUGACCAACAAGCACCCCUGAAUUGGGAUCUGGAAAGACUUCUUUAACCUGUUGGUGACAGGCUUGAGCAUAAGAUCUUAGAGACUUAGAAUAGCUGGUCACAGUAGCAUGAGAUAACAAAGGGCAAGCAGAAGGCUGCGUAGCCAUUGGUCUGCUGGUGACUCUUUCAUGUAGACCUUUUGCAGUAAGUCUUUCAAUGAAACUGCUUUGGAAUCCUGAGACCUUUUGCGGGCUUCUGCUUGCCAAUUAAAGUUUCUGGCUUCCGAGGAUUCCCUUGGCAAUAACUUUCACUGCACAAAACAAGACAGACAUACAUGUGCACCUUAACAUCUCUGCGGUAGCCAAGGGAUGUUACUGACUCCUGGCCACAAGAAGGCCCUGUGUGCACUACCACCAAUUCCUGUGGAACCAUGGACUGGGCGAGGGAUUAAACCAGCAAACCCCAAGGGAUGGGGACUGUGGACUGAUUCCAAACAAAAUGGAGAAAGACAGCUGCUGCCAGCAGUUCCCAGUGUGGAAUCCAGGGAUAGAACUAAGGUCUAGGGUUUUCCCUCUGGGGAACUGUGGUCUGAAAGGCUACAGGCUUGAGCUCUGGGAAGACCCUUCUGCCAGCUCAGUUGGGCCCCGGGCAAAACUACCCACUCAGCUGGGUUGUGGGCAGAAUUGCCUGCCCAGUUGGGCUCCAAGCAUAAUUGUCUGCCAGCUCAGGCUGACCACCCCUGUAAAGGAAAGCCAAUUAGAUGGAGACCUUGUACCCAACAGGAGUGGAGCUCAGAACUGAGAGGGGCUUCAGCCUUCGGAAACAGCGAGAAAGACAGUAAACCCAGACGGUUCAUGGGGUACCACACUUGGGUUUCCUGUCCUUGGGUGCCAUUGGAAGUUCGCUUCAGAUCCCAGCACUGCCACCAAAUCUGUUAAAUAAUAAAAAUUCAAUUACGUAAUUUUAAAGAUCCAAUUGGCUUUAUUAACCAAUUCAUGAAUCAGUCAGUCUCCAUCUAGCACGUAGAGGGGGCUCUGAGGAGUUGUACGCAUGGAAGGUUUUUAUAGGAAGGGGGGUGGUACAAUAAGUUCUUAGCAAAAGAAAAGAAAGGAUAGUUUGACCUUGGCAGAAGGGCAGGAGAUCUUAUUAGGUGGAUUCCCUUAUCUUUUGGGGGACGGAGAGGGCCCAUGUGACAGAUUAACUCACAGAUGCUGAUCAGAAAAUUCCUGACUAUCCAGCCAAGACUACAUUUCUGGGGGAAGUUAGAACUGUAGUUAGGUUGGGUAUUGAGUCCCGGUUUGGUGACCUGGCCUAUGUGACACUAUUUUGGGCCUGUGGUUUUCUUUUUAACAGCUUGGAAAAUGUUUUAUCCCCAUUGCCACUAGAGCAGGCUGCAUAAGCUGUGGCUUAUGUGUGCAUGCCAGACACAUGCAUGGGUUUAUCAGGAAAAGCUAUUGAAUUGAUGUGUCAGGGGGAAGAGGGUGGUGAUGGCAAAGCCCCACCGACAGGCCUCAGUGUUAGGCUCUGGUUUUCAGUUGUGGCUCCUUUGGCAACUACUCCUUAACCCCCUCAGCUCUCAUGCCCACUAGGCCCUGAAUUGAGGAGAGCUCAGACUAUGCUGCUUCCCUUCAACUUGACUGUCUCCAUCAUUUCCCUCCUCACCCUUGUGUUCUUUUCUCACAAGCCUGACUCAGACCUAGUUUUUGCCUGUUUGUUUUCUUUUGCUCACGGACUAUUCUCUUGGGCCAGAUUCCUACCCCCGCCCCCCAAUCAUCUUAUUCUGUCUCCUCAAUGUUUUUUUCAAUGCAAUCUUGCCAAAAGCUAUUUUAGGGUUUGACUGUGGCUUUUUGGCAUCAUUAUCUCACUGGGUCUAGUUUGGAGGUUUCUCUGGGAUCUCUUGCUGGAGUCUUCUCUUUUUAGGAUUUCCCAGUCUAUAUCAGAAGCAUAAAAAAAAAAAUCAUCACUUUGUCCUGGGGAGAAUGUUAUUUUCUUCAUUCAGAUAUUUAAAAAUCUUAAUGCUCUACAACUAGAGUUUUAUUUUGUAAGGGAUAUUCUCUGGUAAGCUGCCAAUGGCAACCUAUAAUAUGAAGUUCCAUAUGCCCCUUUGGGUUCAACUGUAAUCUUUAUGAGAUAAUUUCAUCCCCUUCUUUCUUGCUGUGUAACUGAAAUCCUCAAGAGCAAAGAAACUUUUGUAUCCCUCCCACAUCCCAGAACUAGCUUGGAGUUUGGCCUCAGGCAACAACCAACUAACAGUGCCUUGAAGAUAAUCCUCUGGGGAGUUAAUUAAGAUAGACUGAAUAAUUUAAGGGGCAGUUCUGGUGAG